CUCAAAUGUUAUUUACACAGCAUGCUUUGUUGCUCUAAAUGAAUUGUAUCACCCCGAUGGAGUGUUAGGUUAAGAAUUAUAUAGACCAGGAAGUUACUAACCUUGACAGUAAAUCUUGGUUAGAAUAUCCUAACCAGUGGGGCUUGUAAACUCAUUUAGGCAGGUGGCCAUGUUGAAGAGUUGUGAGGAGCAUCGUGGUUUAAGAUUUACCUAAAGGUUGGUAAUCUAUCUCGAACAGUCGGUUAUUGUAAUUCUUCCUUAACCUCAUUCGGAAGCGAUCAUGUCCUCGUUUUGGUAUCAGAGGAAAAACCUGAGAAACUAAGUUUAACACUAUUCUCCUAAUGAAUAUGAUUAGAAAAAAGACUACUGUUAAAAACAUAAGGAAAGAAGAAUGCGAAUUGCCACAACAAUUAGAUCUACUUAAUAAGUGGACAAUACCAUUAGUCAAACCUAAGGUUAUAUACCAGUUGGGAACCUUUGAAAAAAUAGGUUUAAAACAAGUAGUUAAAACUACUGAAGAGACUAUCACUGUAGAUAGUAACCAUGCUAC
rnacentral:lncRNA from 1 species